UCCGUCGUUCUUGUUCCUCUUCCUCUUCGACGAUCUAUCUCUUUGUCCCCAUGACAACAACCCUCCACCAACUCCAGCAAAUCUGUUAACAGAACCAGGUCUUCUCAGUAUGUAAUUAAUACUCCUCGAUUUGCUCUGUCUCUCAUCAUCUUCAUCUUCUUCUUCGUAAUGAUCCUCUUCUUCUUGAUCUUCUUGAUCUUCUUGGUAGUGAUUACUCGAAUUCGGAGGUAGACGAGUGAGAGGACGAGCUGAGAUGGGAGCAGGGUUCGAAUCCAAUUCCUCCAUUUGAUUAUAAAAAGGCCAAAUCGAGAUUGGUCCCAUACUCUGUCUCUCAGAUCGGAAUCUUUUACGCAUCUUCUCGAUCUUAUGCCUACACUGAGUAGACGACCGGUCAACGCCGGAACGACCCGAGACAGCGACGGCGAUCUCUUCCCAGUGGUUUGUUUUGAGAGGACCACGGCCAAUUGCGUACCAUUUCUCUUUGUAUGAUUCGAUUAAGAGGAAAGUCUCGUCGUGAGUCCAGAGUAUAGGUUGGGUUUUUCUGGCGUGAGAUGAGGUCGAUGCGGCUAAGGCAACGACGGUGAUAUGCGGUGGUGGAGUAGAAGAUGGAUUGGUGUGUGGUGGAGAGGGUUGUUGUGUUUGAUGCGGCGGAGUAGCGGCGGAAUUAGGGUUUGAAUCAGAAGGAGGAGAGGAGGUCGGCGAAGGCGUCGCCAU
rnacentral:lncRNA from 1 species